rnacentral:lncRNA from 1 species
UCUCUCUCUCUCUCUCUCUCUCUCUCUCACUCUCACUCUCACUCCUUGGCGUGGAUCCUUUUUUCCCCCUUGGAACCGGCUCUUUUGAUUUUAUCUCGCGCAUCCACAGUAAAACAAACCCCACUCCCACGUUAGCAUUAGCAGGUAAAAGAUAGCAGCUGGGCCCCUUGACCCUUCUCCCGUCUCUCUCUUUCUCCGGCGUCUAUCUAUAUAUUAUUCCCCACCCCCUUCUUCCUUCGCUGCAGUGGUUCACAUUCGCGCCACCAGCCUCAGCUUUCCUGAAGGCAAGAAAAAGACUGAACUAAGAAGAGGAGAGAGAACAAAGGACAGGGGGCCAGGGUGGGAGGGUGCAGGGCGCCUUCAUGUAGAUUUUGGCUACUGUUUUCCGACAAUAAAAAAAAUGACAUCUGGUGUACAGCUUAGUUCUUUUUUCCCCAUGGGCAAGUGGUCUGAACCUUACCUCUAUUUCCUAUAAUUACAAGAGCAACUAAAG